rnacentral:rRNA from 1 species
UACGUAGGGCGCAAGCGUUGUCCGGAAUUAUUGGGCGUAAAGAGCUCGUAGGCGGCCAGUUGCGUCCGCUGUGAAAUCCCGGGGCUUAACCCCGGGCGUGCAGUGGAUACGGGCUGGCUAGAGGCAGGCAGGGGAGAACGGAAUUCCUGGUGUAGCGGUGAAAUGCGCAGAUAUCAGGAGGAACACCGGUGGCGAAGGCGGUUCUCUGGGCAUUACCUGACGCUGAGGAGCGAAAGUGUGGGGAGCGAACAGG